CAGUGGCAGACGGCUGAGUAACGCGUAGGAACCUGCCCACCAGUGGGGGACAACCUGCCGAAAGGCGGGCUAAUACCGCAUACGACCGCUCUUUGGGGUGAGGAAAGCCGCAAGGUGCUGGUGGAGGGGCCUGCGUCCGAUUAGCUAGUUGGUGGGGUAACGGCCUACCAAGGCGCCGAUCGGUAGCUGGUCUGAGAGGAUGAUCAGCCAGACUGGGACUGGGACACGGCCCAGACUCCUACGGGAGGCAGCAGUUAGGAAUUUUGGGCAAUGGCCGCAAGGCUGACCCAGCAACGCCGCGUGGGGGACGAAGGCUCUCGGGUCGUAAACCCCUUUUCCCAGGGACGAUAGUGACGGUACCUGGGGAAUAAGCCCCGGCUAACUACGUGCCAGCAGCCGCGGUAAUACGUAGGGGGCGAGCGUUGUCCGGAUUCAUUGGGCGUAAAGCGCGUGCAGGCGGCCUGGUAAGUCGGCCGUGAAAGCGCCAGGCUUAACCUGGCGAGGUCGGGCGAGACUGCUAGGCUGGAGGCCGGUAGAGGGCGGUGGAAUUCCGGGUGUAGUGGUGGAAUGCGUAGAGAUCCGGAGGAACACCAGUGGCGAAGGCGGCCGCCUGGGCCGGACC
rnacentral:rRNA from 1 species